GACGUAGGGGGCGAGCGUUGUCCGGAAUUACUGGGCGUAAAGAGCACGUAGGCGGAUAAUUAAGUCUGAUGUGAAAGACCGGGGCUCAACCCCGGGGUGGCAUUAGAAACUGGUAAUCUUGAGGGCAGGAGAGGACAGUAGAAUUCCUGGUGUAGCGGUGAAAUGCGUAGAAAUCAGGAGGAAUACCGGUGGCGAAGGCGACUGUCUGGACUGACCCUGACGCUGAGGUGCGAAAGCGUGGGUAGCAAAC
rnacentral:rRNA from 1 species